GACGAACGCUGGCGGCGUGCUUAACACAUGCAAGUCGAACGAAGUGGCGAACGGGUGAGUAACGCGUAAGCAACCUGCCCUUCAGAGGGGGACAACAGUUGGAAACGAAUGCUAAUACCGACUACUGAAGAAGGGGCUUGCGGCUGAUUCGCUAGGUGGAGGGGUAACGGCCUACCAAGGCGAUGAUCAGUAGCCUGUCUGAGAGGAUGAACGGCCACAUUGUGACUGAGACACGGCCCAUACUCCUACGGUAUGCAGCAGUGGGGAAUCUUCCGCAAUGGACGAAAGUCUGACGGAGCAACGCCGCGUGAGUGAUGACGGCCUUCGGGUUGUAAAGCUCUGUUAAUCGGGACGCGGUACCGGAAUAGAAAGCCACGGCUAACUACGUGCCAGCAGCCGCGGUAAUUC
rnacentral:rRNA from 1 species